CGAUAUUUUCUUCUCUAUAUUGCUCUUUCAAUGCUAACAAAGGAGAUAAAGUUCUUGCAACUAAUACUAAUUUGAGCCCUUUAUGAGCAUAUAGUUUAGCCAAUUCAUAUCCAAUACCUGAACUAGCACCUGUUAUUAAAAUAUAUCCUUUAUCCAUUAAUCCUCUUUAUCAAAUAAUAAAAUAUUUAUUCUAUCGUUAUUUCAGUUCCAGUUAAAAGUAAAAAAUAUUUUCUCGCUUAAUAGAUAAUAUUUUACUAUUAAAACUUACUAAAACCACACCCUACGUUACUUGCUUUUAUAUUAAGCCUUGAUUACAGAACAUCCUAACAGUCUCCCAAUCCUCAUAAUAGCUCUUUAUUCAUCAUAACCACAAAAAGGAAAGCAAAAAAAGGAGAAGGAAAAAGAAAGGAAAAUAAAAGUAAAGAUAAGAAGGUAAAGGUAAGAGAAAAAGAAGAAAAGAUAAACUAAGGGAUGUAAAAUGACAAACGAAGAGAUAUAGAGAUAUAAAGAGAUAUAAAAUGAAGUAAGCUGAAGUAAAAAAGAGGCUGAGCUUUGUUUUAGUUUGCUUUAGUUUGGUUUGAUUUGCUUUGGUUUGGUUUGCUUAGUCUUGCCUGCUUUAGCUUUAUCUGAUUUUAUUCCAGCUAGAUUUUUCCGCUGCCACUUUAUCUACCCUCCUUCCCAUAACAAAAACCCCAAGUAUCUCUACCUAGGGCCUCUCAUUUCUACCUGGCGGUGUCCUACUCUCACAUGGGAAGCCCCACACUACCAUCGGCGUUACAGCGUUUCACUUCUAAGUUCGGCAUGGAAUUAGGUGGGUCCACUGCACUAUCGCCGCAAGAUAAUCCUGUUUGAUGAUUUACUCUCAUCUCGCUCUUCACAUCUUCAUACUCUACCCUCAUCCAGUACAGUAUAAGAUUCUCAAUUGUCAACAAGCUGAACUACUAUCCUUUCUCUCCAACCCCUACAGUCAGAAACAUGUCCUCUGUAUUAAAAAUACUUGAGCGUUGUAUAGUUAAGCCUCUCGGGCAAUUAGUAUCUGUUAGCUCAACGUCUCGCAACGCUUACACACCAGACCUAUCUACGUCGUAGUCUACAACAACCCUUACUGACUCUAAGUCAGGGAUGACUCAUCUUAAGGCAAGUUUCGUGCUUAGAUGCUUUCAGCACUUAUCUCUUCCGCAUUUAGCUACCCAGCAAUGCCUCUGGCGAGACAACUGGAACACCAGUGAUGCGUCCACUCCGGUCCUCUCGUACUAGGAGCAGCCCCUUUCAAUCAUCCAACGCCCACGGCAGAUAGGGACCGAACUGUCUCACGACGUUCUAAACCCAGCUCGCGUACCACUUUAAAUGGCGAACAGCCAUACCCUUGGGACCUACUUCAGCCCCAGGAUGUGAUGAGCCGACAUCGAGGUGCCAAACACCGCCGUCGAUAUGAACUCUUGGGCGGUAUCAGCCUGUUAUCCCCGGAGUACCUUUUAUCCGUUGAGCGAUGGCCCUUCCAUUCAGAACCACCGGAUCACUAUGACCUGCUUUCGCACCUGCUCGACUUGUCUGUCUCGCAGUUAGCUUGCUUAUACCAUUGCACUAACCUGACGAUGUCCGACCGUCAUUAGCAAACCUUCGUGCUCCUCCGUUACGCUUUGGGAGGAGACCGCCCCAGUCAAACUACCCACCAGACACUGUCCGAGUACCCGUUUCAGGCACUUCGUUAGAACAUCAAACGUUAAAGGGUGGUAUUUCAAGGACGCCUCCAACAACACUGGCGUGUCAUCUUCAAAGGCUCCCACCUAUCCUACACAUCAAAAUUCAAUGUUCAGUGUCAAGCUAUAGUAAAGGUUCACGGGGUCUUUCCGUCUAGCCGCGGGUACACCGCAUCUUCACGGCGAUUUCAAUUUCACUGAGUCUCGGGUGGAGACAGCCUGGCCAUCAUUAUGCCAUUCGUGCAGGUCGGAACUUACCCGACAAGGAAUUUCGCUACCUUAGGACCGUUAUAGUUACGGCCGCCGUUUACUGGGGCUUCGAUCAGGAGCUUCUCUUUCGAUAACACCAUCAAUUAACCUUCCAGCACCGGGCAGGCAUCACACCCUAUACGUCCACUUUCGUGUUUGCAGAGUGCUGUGUUUUUAAUAAACAGUUGCAGCCAGCUGUAUCUUCGACCGGUUCAACCUUCAAUCGCGAGGAUUUACAAUCUACGCCGGCGCACCUUCUCCCGAAGUUACGGUGCUAUUUUGCCUAGUUCCUUCACCCGAGUUCUCUCAAGCGCCUGAGUAUUCUCUACCUGACCACCUGUGUCGGUUUUCAGUACGGUUUAGAUAAACCUGAAGCUUAGUGGCUUUUCCUGGAAGUGUGGUAUCAGUUACUUCAGUGCCGUAGCACCUCGUCAUCAGCUCUCAGUGUUGUAUAAGAGACCGGAUUUGCCUAAUCUCUCCACCUACCACCUUAAACGACCAUCCAACAGGUCGAUAACCUAACCUUCUCCGUCCCCACAUCGCAGUUUAUCCAAGUACGGGAAUAUUAACCCGUUUCCCAUCGACUACGCUUUUCAGCCUCGCCUUAGGGGCCGACUCACCCUGCCCCGAUUAACGUUGGACAGGAACCCUUGGUCUUCCGGCGAACGAGUUUUUCACUCGUUUUAUCGUUACUUAUGUCAGCAUUCGCACUUGUGAUACGUCCAGCAAACCUCUCGAUUCACCUUCAUCCGCUUACACAACGCUCCCCUACCCAACAGAAUAAAUUCUGAUGCCGCAGCUUCGGUGCUAUAUUAGCCCCGUUACAUCUUCCGCGCAGGCCGACUCGACUAGUGAGCUAUUACGCUUUCUUUAAAUGAUGGCUGCUUCUAAGCCAACAUCCUAGCUGUCUAAGCCUUCCCACUUCGUUUCCCACUUAAUAUAGACUUUGGGACCUUAGCUGGCGGUCUGGUUGUUUCCCCUCUCCACGACGAACGUUAGCACCCGCCGUGUGUCUCCUGAGUAUCACUCUUCGGUAUUCGCAGGUUUGCAUCGGGUUGGUAAUCCGGGAUGGACCCCUAGCCGAAACAGUGCUCUACCCCCGAAGGUGUCCGCUCAAGGCUCUACCUAAAUAGAUUUCGGGGAGAACCAGCUAUCUCCCGGUUUGAUUGGCCUUUCACCCCCAGCCACAAGUCAUCCGGCUAAUGUUUUCAACAUUAGUGGUUCGGUCCUCCAGUUAGGUUACCCAACCCGAUCAAACUGCGAAUACCGAAGAGUGAUACUCAGGAGACACACGGCGGGUGCUAACGUUCGUCGUGGAGAGGGAAACAACCCAGACCGCCAGCUAAGGUCCCAAAGUCUAUAUUAAGUGGGAAACGAAGUGGGAAGGCUUAGACAGCUAGGAUGUUGGCUUAGAAGCAGCCAUCAUUUAAAGAAAGCGUAAUAGCUCACUAGUCGAGUCGGCCUGCGCGGAAGAUGUAACGGGGCUAAAUAUAGCACCGAAGCUGCGGCAUCAGAAUUUAUUCUGUUGGGUAGGGGAGCGUUGUGUAAGCGGAUGAAGGUGAAUCGAGAGGUUUGCUGGACGUAUCACAAGUGCGAAUGCUGACAUAAGUAACGAUAAAACGAGUGAAAAACUCGUUCGCCGGAAGACCAAGGGUUCCUGUCCAACGUUAAUCGGGGCAGGGUGAGUCGGCCCCUAAGGCGAGGCUGAAAAGCGUAGUCGAUGGGAAACGGGUUAAUAUUCCCGUACUUGGAUAAACUGCGAUGUGGGGACGGAGAAGGUUAGGUUAUCGACCUGUUGGAUGGUCGUUUAAGGUGGUAGGUGGAGAGAUUAGGCAAAUCCGGUCUCUUAUACAACACUGAGAGCUGAUGACGAGGUGCUACGGCACUGAAGUAACUGAUACCACACUUCCAGGAAAAGCCACUAAGCUUCAGGUUUAUCUAAACCGUACUGAAAACCGACACAGGUGGUCAGGUAGAGAAUACUCAGGCGCUUGAGAGAACUCGGGUGAAGGAACUAGGCAAAAUAGCACCGUAACUUCGGGAGAAGGUGCGCCGGCGUAGAUUGUAAAUCCUCGCGAUUGAAGGUUGAACCGGUCGAAGAUACCAGCUGGCUGCAACUGUUUAUUAAAAACACAGCACUCUGCAAACACGAAAGUGGACGUAUAGGGUGUGAUGCCUGCCCGGUGCUGGAAGGUUAAUUGAUGGUGUUAUCGAAAGAGAAGCUCCUGAUCGAAGCCCCAGUAAACGGCGGCCGUAACUAUAACGGUCCUAAGGUAGCGAAAUUCCUUGUCGGGUAAGUUCCGACCUGCACGAAUGGCAUAAUGAUGGCCAGGCUGUCUCCACCCGAGACUCAGUGAAAUUGAAAUCGCCGUGAAGAUGCGGUGUACCCGCGGCUAGACGGAAAGACCCCGUGAACCUUUACUAUAGCUUGACACUGAACAUUGAAUUUUGAUGUGUAGGAUAGGUGGGAGCCUUUGAAGAUGACACGCCAGUGUUGUUGGAGGCGUCCUUGAAAUACCACCCUUUAACGUUUGAUGUUCUAACGAAGUGCCUGAAACGGGUACUCGGACAGUGUCUGGUGGGUAGUUUGACUGGGGCGGUCUCCUCCCAAAGCGUAACGGAGGAGCACGAAGGUUUGCUAAUGACGGUCGGACAUCGUCAGGUUAGUGCAAUGGUAUAAGCAAGCUUAACUGCGAGACAGACAAGUCGAGCAGGUGCGAAGCAGGUCAUAGUGAUCCGGUGGUUCUGAAUGGAAGGGCCAUCGCUCAACGGAUAAAAGGUACUCCGGGGAUAACAGGCUGAUACCGCCCAAGAGUUCAUAUCGACGGCGGUGUUUGGCACCUCGAUGUCGGCUCAUCACAUCCUGGGGCUGAAGUAGGUCCCAAGGGUAUGGCUGUUCGCCAUUUAAAGUGGUACGCGAGCUGGGUUUAGAACGUCGUGAGACAGUUCGGUCCCUAUCUGCCGUGGGCGUUGGAUGAUUGAAAGGGGCUGCUCCUAGUACGAGAGGACCGGAGUGGACGCAUCACUGGUGUUCCAGUUGUCUCGCCAGAGGCAUUGCUGGGUAGCUAAAUGCGGAAGAGAUAAGUGCUGAAAGCAUCUAAGCACGAAACUUGCCUUAAGAUGAGUCAUCCCUGACUUAGAGUCAGUAAGGGUUGUUGUAGACUACGACGUAGAUAGGUCUGGUGUGUAAGCGUUGCGAGACGUUGAGCUAACAGAUACUAAUUGCCCGAGAGGCUUAACUAU
rnacentral:rRNA from 1 species